rnacentral:misc_RNA from 1 species
AGAAAUUGGGGUGGUUUCUCCAUGUUGGAUCAUAAGUUGCAGAAAAUGAGUUACCACCUGGUCUUUGAUUGUAAUUCCCCACAUAAUACACUUGUUCACUUGAAAAACCUAGAUCAAAUGCAGAAAAAUCAGUUGCACAAUUGACAUUUGUAGCUCCAACAUCUACUAAAUUACUUGAACCUCCAACUGAAGAAUUUACUUUCAUGCUUAGCUUGUCCAUUUUCCUUGUCAAAGCAUCAAACUUA